UGAGGAAUAUUGGUCAAUGGGCGAGAGCCUGAACCAGCCAAGUAGCGUGCAGGAUGACGGCCCUAUGGGUUGUAAACUGCUUUUGUAUGGGGAUAAAGUCAGUCACGUGUGAUUGUUUGCAGGUACCAUACGAAUAAGGACCGGCUAAUUCCGUGCCAGCAGCCGCGGUAAUACGGAAGGUCCGGGCGUUAUCCGGAUUUAUUGGGUUUAAAGGGAGCGUAGGCUGGAGAUUAAGUGUGUUGUGAAAUGUAGACGCUCAACGUCUGACUUGCAGCGCAUACUGGUUUCCUUGAGUACGCACAACGUUGGCGGAAUUCGUCGUGUAGCGGUGAAAUGCUUAGAUAUGACGAAGAACUCCGAUUGCGAAGGCAGCUGACGGGAGCGCAACUGACGCUGAAGCUCGAAGGUGCGGGUAUCGAACAGGAUUAGAUACCCUGGUAGUCCGCACAGUAAACGAUGGAUGCCCGCUGUUGGUACGUGGUAUCAGCGGCUAAGCGAAAGCAUUAAGCAUCCCACCUGGGGAGUACGCCGGCACGGU
rnacentral:rRNA from 1 species